GACGAACGCUGGCGGCGUGCUUAACACAUGCAAGUCGAACGGAAAGGCCCUGCUUUUGUGGGGCGCUCGAGUGGCGAACGGGUGAGUAACACGUGAGUAACCUGCCCUUGACUUUGGGAUAACUUCAGGAAACUGGGGCUAAUACCGGAUAGGGGCUCCUGCUGCAUAGUGGGGGUUGGAAAGUUUCGGCGGUUGGGGAUGGACUCGCGGCUUAUCAGCUUGUUGGUGGGGUAGUGGCUUACCAAGGCUUUGACGGGUAGCCGGCCUGAGAGGGUGACCGGCCACAUUGGGACUGAGAUACGGCCCAGACUCCUACGGGAGGCAGCAGUGGGGAAUAUUGCACAAUGGGCGGAAGCCUGAUGCAGCAACGCCGCGUGCGGGAUGACGGCCUUCGGGUUGUAAACCGCUUUCGCCUGUGACGAAGCGUGAGUGACGGUAAUGGGUAAAGAAGCACCGGCUAACUACGUG
rnacentral:rRNA from 1 species